rnacentral:lncRNA from 1 species
GGAAGCCCCGAGCUCCCGGGACGCAGACAGGGUGUGCAGGGCCGUAGCUCGGGCCUGUGUAUGCACCUGUGCGUGUGUGUUUGAUGCCAGGACAAGGCGGCGGUGUGCGCGGCGAGGAGGCUGCGACAGCUGUAUAGACCCCAGCUGCAGUGAAAUGGCCAUCAAAAAGGGAAGGGAUAAUCGAGUGGUGGAAUAAAAUCUGCAAACAGAAAAAGGACAGACCUGUUUUCGGAACGAGGCUUUUCGAGUUAUCACUUGGAGAGAGAGGUCCAGUGAGCAACAACGGCCAGAAAUUUCAGGGAGACCAUCUUGAACCAUCCAGCCUCCACCAGGCCAACAGCUGACAGCUGUCACAUGAAUAUGAUCAGCAGAAGAACCACUCAGGCAAGCCAAGCCCAAAUUGCCAAGCCCCCCAAAUAAUAAGCUAAUUGUUUUUUGUUUUAAGCCAUAAACUUUUGAGGUGGUUAUAUAGCAAUAAAUAACUGAAACAGGUGUUUAACUUUC